ACUGCUCAGUAACACGUGGACAACCUGCCCUUAGGUUGGGUAUAAACCCGGGAAACUGGGUAUAAUACCCGAUAGGUCUCGAUUGCUGGAAUGCAUCGAGAUUUAAAGCUCCGGCGCCUAAGGAUGGGUCUGCGGCCUAUCAGGUAGUAGUGGGUGUAGCGUACCUACUAGCCUACGACGGGUACGGGUUGUGAGAGCAAGAGCCCGGCGAUGGAUUCUGAGACACGAAUCCAGGCCCUACGGGGUGCAGCAGGCGCGAAAACUUUACAAUGCUGGCAACAGCGAUAAGGGAACCUCGAGUGCCAGGUUACAAAUCUGGCUGUCGAGAUGCCUAAAAAGCAUUUCAUAGCAAGGGCCGGGCAAGACCGGUGCCAGCCGCCGCGGUAACACCGGCGGCUCGAGUGGUAACCGUUAUUAUUGGGUCUAAAGGGUCUGUAGCCGGCCGGAUAAGUCUCUUGAGAAAUCUGGCAGCUUAACUGUCAGGCUUUCAGGAGAUACUGUCUGGCUCGAGGCCGGGAGAGGUGAGAGGUACUUCAGGGGUAGGGGUGAAAUCUUGUAAUCCUUGAAGGACCACCAGUGGCGAAGGCGUCUCACCAGAACGGACCUGACGGCAAGGGACGAAAGCUAGGGGCACGAACCGGAUUAGAUACCCGGGUAGUCCUAGCCGUAAACGAUACUCGCUAGGUGUCGGCCACGGUGCGACCGUUGUCGGUGCCGUAGGGAAGCCGUGAAGCGAGCCACCUGGGAAGUACGGCCGCAAGGCUGAAACUUAAAGGAAUUGGCGGGGGAGCAC
rnacentral:rRNA from 1 species